GUGUCAGCAGCCGCGGUAAGACGAACCGUGCGAACGUUGUUCGGAAUCACUGGGCUUAAAGGGCGCGUAGGCGGUUUACCAAGUCGGGGGUGAAAUCUUUCGGCUCAACCGGAAAAGGGCCUUCGAUACUGGUAAACUUGAGCGAGGUAGGGGCGGAUGGAACUUCCGGUGGAGCGGUGAAAUGUGUUGAUAUCGGAAGGAACGCCGGUGGCGAAAGCGAUCCGCUGGACCUCUUCUGACGCUGAGGCGCGAAAGCCAGGGGAGCAAACGGGAUUAGAAACCCGCGUAGUCC
rnacentral:rRNA from 1 species